GAAAUGCGAUAAGUAGUGUGAAUUGCAGAAUUCAGUGAAUCAUCGAAUCUUUGAACGCACAUUGCACUUCCUGGUAUUCCGGGGAGUAUGCCCGUUUCAGAAUCAUUAAAAUCUCAUAAUACCUGCUUUUGUGUAAUACAUAAAAUGGAGGUUUAUGGAUUAUGGGUGGUUUGCCUUUUGGUAAUCAUUUAAAAUUGAUUGUAUGUACUCCAAGCUUGUAUAUCUUUGGGUAUCUAAGUGCAACAGAUUUUAUCUAUUUCUCUUUGAUACUUAGGGAUGUGCGUUGGAGUGUAUACUACAAGUUAUUAAACAGAUGUAAUGCAGUCAUGUAUUGCUUCUGAUAACUUGGUCUGAAAUCGGGCAAGAAAACCCGCUGAACUUAA
rnacentral:misc_RNA from 1 species